rnacentral:rRNA from 1 species
GCAAGUAAAAGUCGUAACAAGGUUUCCGUAGGUGAACCUGCGGAAGGAUCAUUACCGAGUGAGGGCCCUCUGGGUCCAACCUCCCACCCGUGUUUAUUUUACCUUGUUGCUUCGGCGGGCCCGCCUUAACUGGCCGCCGGGGGGCUUACGCCCCCGGGCCCGCGCCCGCCGAAGACACCCUCGAACUCUGUCUGAAGAUUGUAGUCUGAGUGAAAAUAUAAAUUAUUUAAAACUUUCAACAACGGAUCUCUUGGUUCCGGCAUCGAUGAAGAACGCAGCGAAAUGCGAUACGUAAUGUGAAUUGCAAAUUCAGUGAAUCAUCGAGUCUUUGAACGCACAUUGCGCCCCCUGGUAUUCCGGGGGGCAUGCCUGUCCGAGCGUCAUUGCUGCCCUCAAGCACGGCUUGUGUGUUGGGCCCCGUCCUCCGAUCCCGGGGGACGGGCCCGAAAGGCAGCGGCGGCACCGCGUCCGGUCCUCGAGCGUAUGGGGCUUUGUCACCCGCUCUGUAGGCCCGGCCGGCGCUUGCCGAUCAACCCAAAUUUUUAUCCACGUUGACCUCGGAUCAGGUAGGGAUACCCGCUGAACUUAAGCAUAUCAAUAAGCGGAGGA